rnacentral:lncRNA from 1 species
UUUGUGUUAAGUUUUAGUCAAACCCCAUUGUCUAUAACAAGAAGAACGCAUAUUUUGACUGGCUGGUGAUGGCUGUCAAGGAUAAUAAUCCUUAAGAUACCAUGAUCUGUUUCUGACUCUUCCUCUAAGCUGAAAACCUGACUUGACAAAUUGGGCGAAUGGCGAAUACUGAAUUAACAAAAUUGGUAUUCACCAGGCUUUGACCCUGGUGGUCAUACACUUACAAAUGUUGGAGUUGGUUUCACCAGGAUUUAACCUGUGACACCGACCAAAAAAAUAGACAAAAUGGGUGAAUGAAUAUGGUCUAAUCUAUUUAUGCAUUGGUUAAAAAAAAGGGUUAUAUUCUUUAUUUGCACUUCCUAUAUGGCAUGCAUGGUAUACAGUGCUAGAGUGUUGGGUUUCUUUGAUCUAUUGGUAAUUUAGUAAAUGCAAGUUGAAUCAUCCAAAUCAAAAGCCAGAGCAGCUAUAGUAAUAGAAGCAAAUAAGUAUGCUUAUAGUCUGGAACCUACUGUUGAUAGCAGGGCAUCUAGUUUUGUUAAUCAUGUAAUAGAAGCAAAUAAGUAUACUCAUAAUCUGGAACCUACCAUUGAUGUGCUUAAGGUGAUGGACGAAC